rnacentral:rRNA from 1 species
AUACGGAGGAUCCGAGCGUUAUCCGGAUUUAUUGGGUUUAAAGGGUGCGCAGGCGGGAGAUUAAGUCGGCGGUGAAAUUUUGCAGCUCAACUGUAAAAGUGCCUUCGAAACUGGUUUCCUUGAGUGUAGAUGGAGUAGGCGGGAUUUGUGGUGGAGCGGUGAAAUGCAUAGAUAUCACGAGGAACUCCGAUUGCGCAGGCAGCUUACUAAACUACUACUGACGCUCAGGCACGAAGGCGUGGGGAUCAAACAGGAUUAGAUACCCUGGUAGUCCACGCAGUAAACGAUGAUUACUAGCUGUUUGCGAUACAAUGUAAGCGGCUGAGCGAAAGCGUUAAGUAAUCCACCUGGGGAGUACGUUCGCAAGAAUGAAACUCAAAGGAAUUGACGGGG